CCAUUUUUAGCUUUCUUUGGCGUUAAAACUAGACAUAUAAAUACAGCCCAAAACAGCUCACUUAGUAUGUAGGAGCAAACCUUAUUAUGGUGAAGGCUACAACUAACACAACUAUACGGGUCAUCUUCUUUUGUCACUGCAACUUGUGAGCUCUCUCUAUUUCUCCCAUAUGAGUGUUUGUGUUACAUCUACACAUAUAGUGGUCAGUAAUGAAACAUUGUUUGCAGGUGUAGCAUUUUCAAGGUUGCCAGGAGCAGAAGUCAGCAGUUUGGUUCAAGAACACUGUUCUGCUAACGCUGACUGCAAUAUACCCGAAUGCAUUUCAGGCACAGUUGUUUGUAUUGACGACAAAUGCACAUGUAUGUUGGUCGUCGG
rnacentral:lncRNA from 1 species